AUGAAUGGGCUCAAUGCGCAUAUAAAGGCUGGGGAGGAGCGAUCAGAAAGGAAUGGAAUUCCAGUCUCCCGCAGGUGGAGGCCAGCCCCGGGGCCGGCCCCGACCGGGAGGAGUAGGACUGGGGAGAGGGCAGAGGUGGGGCCCCGUGACUCUACCAGGAAGCUAGGGUCCAAGGACCAAGCAUUUCCCUGUCCCACCCUGAGAGCCGGAACCUUCGGCGCUGAAACCAGCCGGCGACAUUCCGGGAGCCCCAGAGGCAGCCACCAGGCUGGUGGACCCCACAGGAGCCCCAGAGGACAGCAAGACCCCAGGGCGGAGCCAGCUGAGCCCACAGCCGCUGGUGGCCAGAGCCCUGGGGGAGGCCGGGCCCAAGACCCCACUGGAGCAGGUCACCCGGGAGCGGGACGAUGCCAUUGCCAAGAAGCUGGCAGUAGAAGCCGAGCUGGGCAUCUGCAGGGCCAAACUCCAAGCCUCGGAGAAGCAGUUGCUGGAGGUGGUGGCAGAGAAGCUGAAGCUGAUGGAGGAGAUCGAGGCCUGGAAGGAAGACAUGCAGGAGCUGAUCCGCCAACAGAUUCACAGGCAGCUGCAGAGAGAGGGCAGGGCCCCUGCCUCCGAGCCCAGAGCCCCCCGGGCUGGCCUGACCUCCCAUUUCUCCCAGUGGCAGUGGAGAUGGCGGAGGACUACAUUCUCUGCUUCCAACUCCACUGAAGACUCAGAGCCCUAAUCCUUUUUUGACUCCAUGACCUGUCCUGGGGAUUUGAUGGAUCCUUGACACUGAUUGCAGGACUAUGGGAUGCUUCUGACUGUCAAGAAGGCUGAUGCUCUGCCCUCCAGGCCCUAGUGGAUAAACCUCAUCUGCUACAACAUCUGGACCAUGGGCUAUGCUGAUUCCUCUCAUUCUGUUUCUGAUGAAGACCAAGGGGACCCAUCUAAACGGAGGCAGGAGAGCCUGCUGCUCAGUGCUCCUGGUCUCAGACUAGCUGGAAUCAUGGUUGCCUGGGCUCCUCCUUUGUUUCUGGGGCUUGAACUUGGAGUUAGCAGUCUCCCCAACUCCUUAUGCUUGUUGACCCUCCUCCGACCUGGGGGUGCCUACUAGUAGCCUGGGUAUUUGGCAAAGAAUCAAGCUGGUUCAUUCAAUAUUCAUUAAGUAAAUUAUGCUAUGUGCUGGGCAUACCAAGACAAAAUAAAAAGUCUGUCUGGCCUCA
rnacentral:lncRNA from 1 species